rnacentral:rRNA from 1 species
UACAGAGGUCCCAAGCGUUGUUCGGAUUCAUUGGGCGUAAAGGGUGUGUAGGAGGCGCCGUAAGUCGGGUGUGAAAUCUCGGGGCUUAACUCCGAAACUGCAUUCGAUACUGCGGUGCUUGAGGACUGGAGAGGAGACUGGAAUUCAUGGUGUAGCAGUGAAAUGCGUAGAUAUCUGGAGGAACACCGGUGGCGAAGGCGGCAUCCUGGACCGACACUGACACUGAGGAGCGAAAGCCAGGGGAGCAAACGGG